rnacentral:rRNA from 1 species
GAUGAACGCUGGCGGCGUGCCUAAUACAUGCAAGUCGAGCGAACGGACGAGAAGCUUGCUUCUCUGAUGUUAGCGGCGGACGGGUGAGUAACACGUGGAUAACCUACCUAUAAGACUGGGAUAACUUCGGGAAACCGGAGCUAAUACCGGAUGAUAUUUUGAACCGCAUGGUUCAAAAGUGAAAGACGGUCUUGCUGUCACUUAUGGAUGGAUCCGCGCUGCAUUAGCUAGUUGGUAAGGUAACGGCUUACCAAGGCAACGAUGCAUAGCCGACCUGAGAGGGUGAUCGGCCACACUGGAACUGAGACACGGUCCAGACUCCUACGGGUGGCAGCAGUAGGGAAUCUUCCGCAAUGGGCGAAAGCCUGACGGAGCAACGCCGCGUGAGUGAUGAAGGUCUUCGGAUCGUAAAACUCUGUUAUUAGGGAAGAACAUAUGUGUAAGUAACUGUGCACAUCUUGACGGUACCUAAUCAGAAAGCCACGGCUAACUACGUG